rnacentral:rRNA from 1 species
AGCACCACAACAGGUGGAGCUUGCGGUUUUAAUUGGAUUCAACGCCGGAAAUCUUACCGGGACCGACAGCAAUAUGAAGGCCAGGCUGAAGACUUUGCCGGAUUAGCUGAGAGGUGGUGCAUGGCCGUCGUCAGUUCGUGCUGUGAAGCAUCCUGUUAAGUCAGGCAACGAGCGAGACCCACGCCCACAGUUGCCAGCGUACUCUCUGGAGUGACGGGUACACUGUGGGGACCGCCGCUGCUAAAGCGGAGGAAGGAAUGGGCAACGGUAGGUCAGUAUGCCCCGAAUAUCCCGGGCUACACGCGAGCUACAAUGGUUGGUACAAUGGGUAUCUACCCCGAAAGGGGACGGGAAUCUCCUAAAACCAAUCUUAGUUCGGAUUGAGGGCUGCAACUCGCCCUCAUGAAGCUGGAAUCCGUAGUAAUCGCGUUUCAACAAAACGCGGUGAAUACGUCCCUGCUCCUU